GAGUCCAAUGUGCUGAUUGCUGCUAACAGUCAGGGUACAAUUAAGGUGCUAGAGUUGGUAUGAAGGCUUUAUUCAAGUCAAAUUGUACUUGAUCCUGCUGAAACACAUCUGCAGCCGACAACAAGAGAAGAAACAGAAACUGUCGUGACGUCUCUCCCCGAAGUCGUCAUGGGUUUUGAGUAUUUUUUCUUUUUCCUUUUUUCCUCCUUUAUGACCUUUGGGACAUUGGGAAUGCCCAGCAAACUCUCCGCCAUCGAUGUAACUCCACAGACUUUGCUGCUGUUGGUGGUGUGAUUAUCUAAUUUUUGUGAUAGGGAAACAAAUUCUUUUGAAUAAAACUAAAUAACAAAAAAUAAUAAAAGUUUAUUGAGCCACA